rnacentral:tRNA from 1 species
GCCUGGGUGGCUCAGUCGGUUGAGCGUCCGACUUCGGCUCAGGUCAUGAUCUCACAGCUUGUGGGUUCAAGCCCCAUAUCAGGCU